UUGAGGUCAUGUGAUGAAAAUUGAUUUGUAAAUGGGUAAUUUGCGUCUGAUUUAAGCUUGAUGCUAACACCUUGGAGAACUGAUGCCUCUU